AAGUCGUAACAAGGUCUCCGUAGGUGAACCUGCGGAGGGAUCAUUAACACGUUUCCAUAACGUUUAACUUUCUACACACCAAAUUGCGUGAAUUCAAUCGAAUCAACUUAUACCCGACUUGAGAGGGAGAGAACCUGUCUUUAUACACGGAGUGAUGAGUGUGCGUAUUUGUUAUGUUGGCAACAGCAUAACAUUAGGCAUGCGGUGUAUCUAGGCUUGUAAUGCUCGACAUUACGGGAUCUCUCUCAUUCAAGCUAUCAACAAUUAACCAAUGUUCCCUUCAUCGCUGGAACGAACAACACCCCUUUCACCCCUUUAUAACUAACUAGACUGAUAUUUCUUUUUGACAGUGAGGCUUGCUUUACUGUUUCAAGGAUUGAUUUUAAUCAAAUAUCUAAGCACAACUCUUAGCAACGGAUAUCUUGGUUCUC
rnacentral:misc_RNA from 1 species